UUAAAUAGUUGAUGAAUCUGGAUUAGGAAAUGAAAAAGAGAGAGGCGUGGAAAUGAAGGGAGCACAUGGUAUGUAUUAUGUAAUGGGUAUGUGCCCAUCUUCAAUGUACCGACAAUUCUAACAUCAAAGUGAACCACGUGUCAUCAUUUUAUGAAGUUUGAGAGUCUUUAUUAUAAUAACCACUCUCCACUCUCGUUACUUACUGUCUCACCAGCCAUGGCGGAAAAGAUCACCAUCAUGAAGCUCAACGUUGAUCUCCAGUGUUCCAAAUGCUACAAAAAGGUCAAGAAGCUUCUCUGCAAAUUCCCUCAAAUUGGAGAUCAGGUGUACGAUGAGAAGAAUAACAUAGUGACGAUCAAAGUCAUAUGCUGUAGCCCUGAGAAGAUAAGGGACAAGCUUUGCUACAAAGGUUGUGGUACUAUCAAAUCAAUCGAGAUUCUUGAUCCUCCCAAACCCACCCCACCACCCCAAGAGAAGCCCAAGGAACCAGAGAAGCCCAAGCAGCCGGAGAAGCCCAAGGAGCCGGAGAAGCCCAAGCAGCCGGAAAAGCCUAAAGACCCCGAGAAACCCAAGGAGCCGGAAAAGCC
rnacentral:lncRNA from 1 species